ACACUGGUGGUUCCUCAAGUUGGCCCCUUUGACUUUAAUUGUCAUUUUAUUUUAGUGGCCAUAUGAACCAUAUCCUCUAAGUUAAUACAGUGUUUUAAUUCGAGAAUGUUGGCAAUUUAUUUUUUUAGCCCACUUAAAAAUCAAGCCAUGGUGGCUUCGGGAUACUCUUGGACCCUUGCCUGAAUCAGAGUCACCUCCAUUUCCUUAUGGUACUCUCCUGCCAACUUUGAUCCUUGAAUAAGAUGUUGGAGCUUCUAGUUCAUAUCCUAUCAAAGUAGGAUUGUAUAAACCUCUUCCUCAUGAUGGAUCUUAACUCUUGCCAUGUGAAAAUGACACAUCUUUGUCUUUGAUUUUAAGGGGAACUAAUUGGUCCCACCAAACCAAUGCAUAGUCACUAAACUCAAGUGUUGUCAGUUUAAUCUUAGUUUCUUCAUUGUAGUCAUGGUAAUCGAAGAUGCAGUCAAUCUUUUGCU
rnacentral:lncRNA from 1 species